UCCGGAGUAAACUUACAAGAAUAAGAGCAGCGACUCUGAAUAGACUCAGAAUACAUAGCGCUUGUCAGUGUUUCCAUGCAAAGCACUGUCGUGUUUCUGUCAGGAGGGAGAAGUAGUUCGCUACAAUAGGAGAGUGAGGAGCUCUUUGCUAUUCAUCGCACACAUUCUCACAAAAGGAGCCAAGGAGCCGGAGGAACAGAAAACUGGACUCUUCGAGGAAGAGAAAAAAAAAAAAGGUCCAUUGACUAUUGAAAUUCCAACCAUGUCCCAGAGAGUGGGAGGAUUUUAGGAUUCAGCAGAUACUGAAGAAAUAUGCAGCGGACAUGGAGGGCAGCUGUAAAGCAUCAGGUUAAAAUCCUCAGAAUCUCAACUAAGCCUCAUGGUGCAAACUGCUGAAUUAACACAAUUAAAGCUGCUUUACUUAUUUCUUUUUUUUUUAUAAAUGCAGACCUUUGUUUAUUCAUAAUCACCUUAAAGAAUAAGGUGGAAUAAGGCUUCUGUAAUCCCCACAAACCUAAACACAGAGUUAUGACUUAAAAUAUUCUUCAUUAACCUGUUAGUUCCCUUAUUUAUUGGAUGUUCAUGAUGUUUUCAUUCUUAACAUUAUUAUGGACCAUAAUGUUGCAAGGCUCUGCUGACCCUCUCAGUCUACACAUUUAUUCCCGACUCAUAUUUUUUUUUUAUGUUUAACCUUUACCUUUUGACCACCCUAUUCUAAGGUUAUCAGAUGGAGUGAAUGUUUGUUCCAGAUGUAAGGUAAUACCUUUUGGGCAUUCACAUGAUAUGUCAUGGUCACAUGGACAUGAGGUAACUGUGACCUUGUGACCUUUAACCUUCAGCGUCUAGAUGCAUAGUAGUAUGUUCAAAUGAUAUCACAAUACUAUUACAAUA